rnacentral:rRNA from 1 species
UCUUGGGUGUAAAUAGACUAGAGUACUAUGAACGAUUGUAAAUUUAAAACUCAAAGAACUUGGCGGUGUUUUAGACCAUUUAGGGGAACCUGUCUCAUAAUCGACAAUCCACGUUGUACCUGACCUUUUUUUGUUUUUCAGUUUGUAUACCGUUGUCGUCAGGUAACUUUUUAGAAGAUAGGAGUUGGCCGGAAAAAUAUAAUUUUAUACGUCAAAUCAAGGUGCAGCUAAUAGAAAGGGGAGGAUGGGUUACAGUUAUAAUUUAUAAGUACGGAAGGCGGACUUAAAAGUAAAUUAGAUAAAAAUAAUUUGAAUGAGGCUCUGAAACGUGU